rnacentral:rRNA from 1 species
GACGAACGCUGGCGGCGUGCCUAAUACAUGCAAGUUGAGCGAUGAAGAUUGGUGCUUGCACCAAUUUGAAGAGCAGCGAACGGGUGAGUAACGCGUGGGGAAUCUGCCUUUGAGCGGGGGACAACAUUUGGAAACGAAUGCUAAUACCGCAUAGCAACUUUAAACAUAAGUUUUAAGUUUGAAAGAUGCAAUUGCAUCACUCAAAGAUGAUCCCGCGUUGUAUUAGCUAGUUGGUGAGGUAAAGGCUCACCAAGGCGAUGAUACAUAGCCGACCUGAGAGGGUGAUCGGCCACAUUGGGACUGGGACACGGCCCAAACUCCUACGGGAGGCAGCAGUAGGGAAUCUUCGGCAAUGGACGAAAGUCUGACCGAGCAACGCCGCGUGAGUGAAGAAGGUUUUCGGAUCGUAAAACUCUGUUGGUAGAGAAGAACGUUGGUGAGAGUGGAAAGCUCAUCAAGUGACGGUAACUACCCAGAAAGGGACGGCUAACUACGUG